CCCUUAGAUGUCCUGGGCCGCACGCGUGCUACACUGAUGCAUGCAGCGAGUACUUUCCAGCUCCGCGAGGCAGCUGGUAAUCAGCAAUAUGCAUCGUGCUGGGGAUAGAUCUUUGGAAUUAUAGAUCUUGAACGAGGAAUUCCUAGUAAGCGCAAGUCAUUAGCUUGCGCUGAUUAAGUCCCUGCCCUUUGUACACACCGCCCGUCGCUCCUACCGAUUUCGAGUGAUUCGGUGAACCUUUUGGACAGCGUCUGUCCUCGUGUCAGAUGCUGAAAGUCAAGUAAACCAUAUCACUUAGAGGAAGGAGAAGUCGUAACA
rnacentral:rRNA from 1 species